UUGUAGCACAAGAAAGAAAGGAAC
rnacentral:sRNA from 1 species